CGAAUGAGGAGAUCAUCGUCAGCUUAUUCAGUAUUAAUGCAGGCUAUGAUGUGAUAAUAGAAUCCUUGUGGUCACUAGAUUAUACUUGCUUGUAUUAUUUUUGCUGGGUAUGUCGGCGUGCACUUCUCCUCUAGUAGAACGUCGCAACCCGUUGGAUGUUUAUCUAUGGCUUGAAUGGUAGCCUUUGAUAUUUUUUAUAUUGAAGACCUUCGAUGUCCUGAUAAACUGUUUGACGGUAUACAUAUGGUAUUGAGCCGCAAUUAUUUGCGUUAGACUUGCCGCAAGUAUGACUUUAUUCUAGUAGUGCGGAUCUAAUGCCGUCGCUGGACAAAGUCUGCUGUUAGCUGUGUAAUGUCUUUAACUGGCUUAUUUACCGGUUAGCGAUG
rnacentral:rRNA from 1 species